UACGUAGGGUGCGAGCGUUAAUCGGAAUUACUGGGCGUAAAGCGUGCGCAGGCGGUUUUGUAAGCCAGAUGUGAAAGCCCCGGGCUUAACCUGGGAAUGGCAUUUGGGACUGCAAGGCUUGAGUGCGGCAGAGGAGACUGGAAUUCCUGGUGUAGCGGUGAAAUGCGCAGAUAUCAGGAGGACACCGAUGGCGAAGGCGGCAUCCUGGACCGAGAUUGACGCUGAUGAGCGAAAGCUAGGGGAGCAAACGGGAUAGAU
rnacentral:rRNA from 1 species